UACGAAGGGGGCGAGCGUUGUUCGGAUUUACUGGGCGUAAAGGGCGCGCAGGCGGUCAUUUUUGUCGAGUGUGAAAGCCCCGGGCUUAACCUGGGAACUGCGCUCGAAACGGGAUGACUAGAGAUCGGGAGAGGAGAGUGGAAUUCCCAGUGUAGAGGUGAAAUUCGUAGAUAUUCGGAGGAACACCAGUGGCGAAGGCGGCUCACUGGUCCAUUACUGACGCUGAGGUGCGAAAGCGUGGGGAGCAAACAGGG
rnacentral:rRNA from 1 species